GACAGGAGGGGCGAGCGUUGAGCGUUUGUACUGGGCCUAAAGCGCGGGUAUGUGGGUAUGAAAUCGAAAGCUGUUGCCUAUCUUACAGAUAGGUGUAGCAGCAAAGAAAGGCCCUCCGAGGAUGGAGGCGUUUCUAGAGUGACUUCAUAUCUGGGGUCCACGGAAGGUUGACAGAAUGGCCCAAGGACCGGUAGAAUGGAAAGAUAUGGGUUGGAAUCUCAACAGCGAAGGCAGUUAUCUGACAUGGUACCGACACCCAGCCGCGGAAGCGUGGGGAUUCAAUGGG
rnacentral:rRNA from 1 species